AUUUGUCUUUGUACCUUGAUUUUUGAAUUUAAGAAUCCCUUAAUGGAAUGUGCAAAACCAGAGAGAAAUUCGAAACAUGGGCUGUUGAUAUCGAAAAAGGGCAAGAAAACUUCUGCAAAUGAACAUCAUAUGAAGUCAGAUACACUUGAUCAGAUAGAACACUUAGAAGAUAGAUAGAUAGGUAGAUAGAUAGAUAGAUAGAUAGAUAGAUAGAUAUAUAGAUAGAUAGAUAGAUAGAUAGAUAGAUUUUCCUGCUCAUUAUGAUGGAUACUAAUAUAUGCACAUUUUUUUAUUUUCCAUUGUAAAGAACACCGAGUUUCUCCUGUAAUAGAACUGAC